CUUCGCAGUUACCUUUUGAGGCUUUCCCUCCUUAUGGAGGGUGUCAGUGAUGGUUUUCUGCACAACUGUCAGGUCAGCAGUCUUCCCCAUGAUUGUGAUUCCUACUGAACCAGACUGAGACCAUUUAAAGGCUCAGAAACCCUUUGCAGGUGUUAUGGCUUACUUAGCUGAUUAGAGUGGGACACUGUGAGCCUAGAAUAUUGCACCUUUUCAC